rnacentral:rRNA from 1 species
UACAGAGGGUGCAAGCGUUGUUCGGAAUUACUGGGCGUAAAGGGCGCGUAGGCGGCGCGGUAAGUCACUUGUGAAAUCUCUGAGCUUAACUCAGAACGGCCAAGUGAUACUGCAGUGCUAGAGUGUGGAAGGGGCAAUCGGAAUUCUUGGUGUAGCGGUGAAAUGCGUAGAUAUCAAGAGGAACACCUGAGGUGAAGACGGGUUGCUGGGCCAACACUGACGCUGAGGCGCGAAAGCCAGGGGAGCAAACGGG